UUCCUACGGGGGGCAGCAGUGGGGGAUAUUGCACAAUGGGGGAAACCCUGAUGCAGCGACGCCGCGUGUGGGAAGACGGUCCUCUGGAUUGUAAACCACUGUCCCCAGGGACGAAGAUGACGGUACCUGGGGAGGAAGCUCCGGCUAACUACGUGCCAGCAGCCGCGGUAAUACGUAUGGUGCAAGCGUUAUCCGGAUUUACUGGGUGUAAAGGGAGCGCAGGCGGCGCGUUAAGCCUGGUGUGAAAGCCCGCGGCCCAACCGCGGGACUGCAUUGGGAACUGGCGCGCUGGAGUGCCGGCGGGG
rnacentral:rRNA from 1 species